rnacentral:lncRNA from 1 species
UACAAUCAGAGUCCACAUAUGUUCGGGGGAGGGACCCCAGAAGGCGGCUGACAGUAUUCCUUUAGCCAGAAAUCCCUUCAGGGAAGAGAAAGGUGCUCCCCUUUGCCUGCUUUUAUACUACAGACUGUUUCCAACUCCAGCUAGAAGUGACUAUUGCCGAUUAUGCUAAUCAGUGGCGACAAGCUCCCUUUGACUGCUCACUUCUCCAGUGAGGCUUCAAGCUUCUAGGCAUCAAGAUUAGUAAGGCUGUCUUCUGGGUGGGCCAGUUUGUUUCUCAGUGACACGAAAACAUUGCCUGGGUAUUUUCCAGAAAAUAUUUCAAGCAGAAUAUACUUAUUUUCCAGUUUUGAAAACAACUAGAUUGCCCAUCUCCAUUUCUCUCUAUCAUCUACUGUAUUAUUCUAUGGACAACUGCCACCCUAAUAAGCUCAAAGGAAACCAUGAGAGACUGUCUAACUAGACUUUUUGCUUGAUUUCCUGGACCCAAGAGCAGGAGUGAGGAGCUUUCUCCUGGUCAAGAAGGGAAGCCAGAAGUCAAGGCCACAGAAGACACAGGAAACAUCAUUUCCAAAGUGGGAGACAAAGCUGUUAACAGGAAAUUAUUUGUAAAGUCAAGAGCCAAGCAAAACAGAAAAAGGACAAGAAAUCUAUCACCUGUGGGUAUGAAUGGUUCUAGGGAAGUCUGUUGACAAUUGGAGGGUCUCAAAGGCGCUUUAUGGUACUUAUUUUAUGACCCUGAGUCUGGAGUCUGAUGAAUUAAAGAGGAAAUUCUGCUCUGGGCAACAUUUAAGAGAUAGUAUCUCCAGGCAGUAACUUUCGUAUUAACUCUCAUAAGAUUGAUGCCAUUCUGUCAUCUAAAGUGUGGACAAAAGUAGCAUUAAAGCAAAAUGAAA